rnacentral:rRNA from 1 species
GAUGAACGCUGGCGGCGUGCCUAAUACAUGCAAGUCGAGCGAAUGGAUUAAGAGCUUGCUCUUAUGAAGUUAGCGGCGGACGGGUGAGCAACACGUGGGUAACCUGCCCAUAAGACUGGGAUAACUCCGGGAAACCGGGGCUAAUACCGGAUAACAUUUUGAACCGCAUGGUUCGAAAUUGAAAGGCGGCUUCGGCUGUCACUUAUGGAUGGACCCGCGUCGCAUUAGCUAGUUGGUGAGGUAACGGCUCACCAAGGCAACGAUGCGUAGCCGACCUGGGAGGGUGAUGGGCCACACUGGGACCGAGACACGGCCCAGACUCCUACGGGAGGCAGCAGUAGGGAAUCUUCCGCAAUGGACGAAAGUCUGACGGAGCAACGCCGCGUGAGUGAUGAAGGCUUUCGGGUCGUAAAACUCUGUUGUUAGGGAAGAACAAGUGCUAGUUGAAUAAGCUGGCACCUUGACGGUACCUAACCAGAAAGCCACGGCUAACUACGUGCCAGCCGCCGCAGUAA